CGCCUCCUACGGGAGGCAGCAGUAGGGAAUCUUCCACAAUGGGCGAAAGCCUGAUGGAGCAACGCCGCGUGGGUGAAGAAGGUCUUCGGAUCGUAAAACCCUGUUGCUAGAGAAGAAAGUGCGUGAGAGUAACUGUUCACGUUUCGACGGUAUCUAACCAGAAAGCCACGGCUAACUACGUGCCAGCAGCCGCGGUAAUACGUAGGUGGCAAGCGUUAUCCGGAUUUAUUGGGCGUAAAGGGAACGCAGGCGGUCUUUUAAGUCUGAUGUGAACGCCUUCGGCUUAACCGGAGUAGUUCAUUGGG
rnacentral:rRNA from 1 species